rnacentral:rRNA from 1 species
GAUGAACGCUGGCGGCGUGCCUAAUACAUGCAAGUCGAGCGAACAGAUAAGGAGCUUGCUCCUUUGACGUUAGCGGCGGACGGGUGAGUAACACGUGGAUAACCUACCUAUAAGACUGGGAUAACUUCGGGAAACCGGAGCUAAUACCGGAUAACAUAUUGAACCGCAUGGUUCAAUAGUGAAAGGCGGCUUUGCUGUCACUUAUAGAUGGAUCCGCGCCGUAUUAGCUAGUUGGUAAGGUAACGGCUUACCAAGGCAACGAUACGUAGCCGACCUGAGAGGGUGAUCGGCCACACUGGAACUGAGACACGGUCCAGACUCCUACGGGAGGCAGCAGUAGGGAAUCUUCCGCAAUGGGCGAAAGCCUGACGGAGCAACGCCGCGUGAGUGAUGAAGGUCUUCGGAUCGUAAAACUCUGUUAUCAGGGAAGAACAAAUGUGUAAGUAAUUGUGCACAUCUUGACGGUACCUGAUCAGAAAGCCACGGCUAACUACGUG